GACUGAUUGGCGCAAUGGUAGCGCAUUUGAUUCCAACGUCAGGUUUCUGGUGUCAUCAAAAGGUUGCGUGUUCGAGUCACGUAUCGGUCA